UAGGGAAUCUUCGGCACUGGACGAAAGUCUGACCGAGCAACGCCGCGUGAGUGAAGAAGGUUUUCGGAUCGUAAAACUCUGUUGUUAGAGAAGAACAAGGACGUUAGUAACUGAACGUCCCCUGACGGUAUCUAACCAGAAAGCCACGGCUAACUACGUGCCAGCAGCCGCGGUAAUACGUAGGUGGCAAGCGUUGUCCGGAUUUAUUGGGCGUAAAGCGAGCGCAGGCGGUUUCUUAAGUCUGAUGUGAAAGCCCCCGGCUCAACCGGGGAGGGUCAGUGGAAACGGGGAGACUUGAGUGCAGAAGAGGAGAGUGGAAUUCCAUGUGUAGCGGUGAAAUGCGUAGAUAUAUGGAGGAACACCAGUGGCGAAGGCGGCUCUCUGCUCUGUAACUGACGCUGAGGCUCGAAAGCGUGGGGAGCAAACAGG
rnacentral:rRNA from 1 species